rnacentral:rRNA from 1 species
UACAGAGGGGCAAGCGUUGUUCGGAAUUACUGGGCGUAAAGGGCGCGUAGGCGGCCUGUUAAGUCGGACGUGAAAUCCCCAGGCUUAACCUGGGAACUGCAUCCGAUACGUGGAUGGCUUGAAUCCGGGAGAGGGAUGCAGAAUUCCAGGUGUAGCGGUGAAAUGCGUAGAUAUCGUAAGGAAGACCAGUGGCGAAGGCGGAUCUCUGGACAGUUACUGACACUGAGGCACGAAGGCCAGGGAGCAAACGGG